ensembl:lncRNA
GAGUUAAAAGCUUUGGGACGUUUAUAUGGACUCGCUUUAUAGACGCUUUCAGCGAAAGUGUGCAGAAAAUGAACCAAGCUUCCAUCUGAGCAUGUCAUGGGUUAAAGGUCUUCAGCGUGGGUCUGUUCCAGUGCUAGGAUUUAAACUCGGAACCUGACUGCUCAAGUUUCAUAUUACUGUACUUUCAAUAACAUACAGCUGACGUCAGUGACCAGAAUAAUCAGGAGCAAAGUGUCAAAUAAUUCUCCAAUGAAAACACAACAACAGAUGUGACAUUUGCUCGAGCUGAAUAUUUGCACUUCGACACACAGGGUCAUACACACAGGUCUUAGUGACUCGCUCAGUCUGUUAUAAACAUAUGUGACCUAUGCCAUCAUUGUGAGUCACUGUAACCCAGAAGCACAUUUUAAUACAUUUGGCGUAAAGGAAGUCUCGGCUUUAUGCCCUGGUCAGGCUGAUGGUGGAGCUACAGCCUAUCCCAGGAACAUUGGGCAUGAAGCAGGAAUGCACACCCAGUCCAUUGCAAGGCACCGCACACACACACACACACACAUAAAACACUAGAGGCAAUUUAGAGUAGCCAGUCCACAUACUAGCAUGUUUUUGGGCAAAACUACACACCGACAGUAAACCGGCUCGGGGGGGAACCGGGGACUCUAUAGCUGUGAGGCCUCAAAGUGUGCGGUCUUAGUUAGACAAUUAAAUCAAGCAUAAAGAGGCGUUAACACUUUUCAGACAUACACACUCUUCAUCACGUGGGUGGAACACUGUUAUUAAUCAUUGACUGAUAUCAAGAGAAACGGUACGUUUCACUGAAACGAGCCCAUGGCUGUGCAUUCAGUGGGUUUUGCUGCAACUUGUAAAAAAAAAAAUUAAAAAAAAUUAUUAUUAUUUUUUUUUUUUUUAAAAAGGAGAAGAGGAGGAUGAGAAUGAAACCAAUAUUCACUAGCAUCUGGAGAUAAAUGCAGCAUUCUAAAAGGUAGAAAAUGCCUCAUACCAUGUUUGAGGGCCAAUCGAUAUUUGUUUGAGUUUCAUAACAAUAUUGACACAGUAUGAAAGCCGAGACUUUCUCUGCGUGCCCAGAACAGCCUUCAAGCAAGCUUUUGAUAUAGAUAGUGGUCUCUACUUAAAAAUCCUAUUGCGUCUCCAGAUUCAAAAUGGCAGAAUAUAUACAGUAUGCCGGUGGGUUGUUGAGCUGACGUUAGUUUCUAGGUCAGUAUCUGGCAUUGCCGUUCCCCGCUGUGAACUGAUCUGGCAUUCAUACUUCAUCUACAAAAACAAGGUGCUCAGAUUGAUUCAAUGUUUCAAGGCUGAAAAUAUAGCCAGGGAGCUCAAUAUAUUGUAUGGCUUGCGAGUGAAGACCUCGCAUUGAACUAAAUGACACGGUGUGUGAUAGUGGAAGCAUAUACGAGCAGAGAACUCUGAGCGUUCUGAGCGGAUUCGGCUUUAUGUGAGAGAGCCCACUAAAGACUGAGUUGGGUGUUGAAUAGUAGAGAGGAGACAAGGAGGUGGUGUGUGUGUGUGUGUGUGUGUGUGUGUGUGUGUGUGUGUAAACCUCAUCACUAGUGGAUAAAGAGAGAGAUGGGAAUUCACUAGCAAGAAGGUAGAGAUGUGUGGUCAUGUGCGGUCUUUCUCCAACUAUUCAGUUAAUAUAACUCCACAGCAUUAUUAGUCUAGUCUAGUUUUAAGCAUAUUCCUCAUCUCUGGAGAAACUGUCAGUCUUAGCAAUCAUAUCUGUAAGUUACAAAACUUCCUUUCUCCUGGAAAAUGAGCAUUCGUAGUAUUAGUUUAAUGACUACUAUUGGUACUUUGCAUAGGGUGAUUAGAAUACUUCUGCAUCUACAUACUGUAGGUUUAUUCUAAAAUGACAUACAGUUGCAAUCAAAAUGAUUGAACCCCCAGUGCAAAUCAGGUUUAUUGUCAAAAUGUACAGAC